GAUGAACGCUGGCGGCGUGCCUAAUACAUGCAAGUCGAGCGAAGCGGGGACGGGUGAGUAACACGUGGAUAACCUCCUAUAAGACUGGGAUAAAUUCGGGAAAACGGAGCUAAACCGGAUACUAAUAGCUGGAUCCGCGCGGCAUUAGCUAGAUGGGAAGGUAACGGCGUACCAAGGCAACGAUGCAUAGCCGAACUGCAAGUGUGAUCGGCCACACUGGAACUGAGAAACGGUCCAGACUCCUACGGGAGGCAGCAGUAGGGAAUCUUCCGCAAUGGGCGAAAGCCUGACGGAGCAACGCCGCGUGAGUGAUGAAGGUCUUCGGAUCGUAAAACUCUGUUAUUAGGGAAGCGGUACCUAAUCAGAAAGCCACGGCUAACUACGUGCCAGCAGCCGCGGUAAUUC
rnacentral:rRNA from 1 species